rnacentral:rRNA from 1 species
AUUGAACGCUGGCGGCAUGCCUUACACAUGCAAGUCGAACGGCAGCACGGGAGCAAUCCUGGUGGCGAGUGGCGAACGGGUGAGUAAUACAUCGGAACGUGCCCAGUAGUGGGGGAUAACCCGGCGAAAGCCGGACUAAUACCGCAUACGACCUACGGGUGAAAGCAGGGGAUCGCAAGACCUUGCGCUAUCGGAGCGGCCGAUGUCAGAUUAGCUAGUUGGUGGGGUAAAAGCUCACCAAGGCGACGAUCUGUAGCUGGUCUGAGAGGACGACCAGCCACACUGGGACUGAGACACGGCCCAGACUCCUACGGGAGGCAGCAGUGGGGAAUUUUGGACAAUGGGCGCAAGCCUGAUCCAGCCAUGCCGCGUGCGGGAAGAAGGCCU